AAUCGAUUAUUUGCUAUUUUUGAAAAACUUCAGAUCACACUGUCUUAAGACAAUCGAUUUGUUAAAUAUAGACAAUCGAUUGUUGGCUUAUUUUGAAAAAUUCCAGAGCACUGUCUCAAGACAAUCGAUUGUUAAGUAUAGACAAUCGAUUGUUGGCUAUUUUGAAAAAUUCCAGAUUACACUGUCUUAACGACAAUCGAUUGUUAGACAAAGA
rnacentral:lncRNA from 1 species